AAAUAUCAGCUGGUAAUUCUGGGUUGAUGAGAUCCCAGAAUAUCGACUGAUAUUAUC
rnacentral:pre_miRNA from 1 species